rnacentral:rRNA from 1 species
GAUGAACGCUAGCUACAGGCUUAACGCAUGCAAGUCGAGGGGUCUUUUGGAGCUUGCUUUAAAAGACGACCGGCGCACGGGUGAGUAACGCGUAUCCAACCUGCCCUUCAUAUUGGGAUAGCCUUCCGAAAGGAAGAUUAAUACCGAAUAACAUGAGAUAGUUGCCUGAUUUUCUCAUGAAAGCUCCGGCGAUGAAGGAUGGGGAUGCGUUCCAUUAGGUAGUAGGCGGGGUAACGGCCCACCUAGCCGACGAUGGAUAGGGGUUCUGAGAGGAAGGUCCCCCACACUGGAACUGAGACACGGUCCAGACUCCUACGGGAGGCAGCAGUGAGGAAUAUUGGUCAAUGGGCGCAAGCCUGAACCAGCCAAGUAGCGUGAAGGAUGACUGCCCUAUGGUUGUAAACUUCUUUAUACGGGAACAAACCUUGGUACGUGUACCAAAUUGCGUGUACCGUAUGAAUAAGCAUCGGCUAACUCCGUG